rnacentral:piRNA from 1 species
UUACUCACAGACCAGGCACUGGUGUGGUAC